rnacentral:misc_RNA from 1 species
CCAGCAAUCGGUGCCCUAGGCAAACGAAACACUGACGAGCUUGAUAAGAACAAGGAUGGCAAUAUUGACCAAUCAGAAGCUGAGGAACUGAUGGAAAGACGGGCAGCCGAGGAUCUUCUUUCACUUGCUGAUGAAAAUGGUGAUUCGAACGUGAGUGUGGAAGAGUUCUCGAGGAGCAUCCAUGACUUCAUGACCUUAGAUUCAGACCCACUGUUGCAAAAACAACUUGCAGAAGAGUUUGCUGAUGCAUUUGAGGAUGAUGCGGAAUAAAGCGCCCGAUCAACAUCUUUAUGAAAUGAUUUCAAUAAAAGAUUCUUGCAAACGUAAA